rnacentral:lncRNA from 1 species
AGGACCAGUUAGAAACUAACCCUUCAGCUAUACCAAGGAUUCCACUUCCUAAGGCAAGGCUGUUUCCAUGAUGUCAAGAAUGCUGCCACUUGUUCUUGACUCCACAGUGUGCAUAAGCUAAUGCACUUCCUUACCUAGAUCAGAAAUAAACUGAUCCAAGUAACCACCAUCAAGACUAUGAUGUCUUCUUCUUCUUGUACAUACCAAGGCUGAACAUGUUUCUUGCCAGGAAACCUUUUCAGAGAUCAUAUGCUUUU